AUACGUAGGUGGCAAGCGUUAUCCGGAAUUAUUGGGCGUAAAGAGUGAGCAGGCGGUUAAUUAAGUCUGAGGUUAAAGCUUGGGGCGAAAACCCAUAAAGCCUUGGAAACUGAUUGACUAGAGUACGGGAGAAGUGAAGGGAACUCCAUGUGUAGCGGUGAAAUGCGUAGAUAUAUGGAAGAACACCAGUGGCGAAGGCGCUUCACUAGCCCGAAACUGACGCUCAGUCACGAAAGCGUGGGUAGCAAAUAGGACUAGAUACCCUAGUAGUCCACGCUGUAAACGAUGACAACUAAAUAUUGCCGCGAGGCAGUGUUGAAGCUAACGCAUUAAGUUGUCCGCCUGGGGAGUACGGUCGCAAGACUGAAACUCAAAGGAAUUGACGGGG
rnacentral:rRNA from 1 species